rnacentral:rRNA from 1 species
UACCAGCACCCCGAGUGGUCGGGACGUUUAUUGGGCCUAAAGCAUCCGUAGCCGGUUCUACAAGUCUUCCGUUAUAUCCAACUGCUUAACAGGUGGGCUGCGGAAGAAACUAUAGAGCUAGGAGGCGGGAGAGGCAAGCGGUACUCGAUGGGUAGGGGUAAAAUCCGUUGAUCCAUUGAAGACCACCAGUGGCGAAGGCGGCUUGCCAGAACGCGCUCGACGGUGAGGGAUGAAAGCUGGGGGAGCAAACCGG